UACGUAGGCAGCGAGCGUUGUUCGGAAUUACUGGGCGUAAAGAGUGUGUAGGCGGUGUUCCCAGUCUGUUGUGAAAUCUCCCGGCUUAACUGGGAGGGUGCAGCGGAAACUAGAAUGCUAGAGGAUGGGAGAGGUAAGCGGAAUUCCUGGUGUAGCGGUGAAAUGCGUAGAUAUCAGGAGGAACACCUGUGGUGUAGACAGCUUACUGGACCAUUUCUGACGCUGAGACACGAAAGCGUGGGUAGCGAACAGG
rnacentral:rRNA from 1 species